AUUGAACGCUGGCUGCAGGCCUAACACAUGCAAGUCGAACGAGUGGCGGACGGGUUAGUAAUGUCUGGGAAACUGCCUGAUAGAAGGGGAUAACUACUGGAAACGGUAGCUAAUACCGCAUACCAUCUGAUGUGCCCAUAUGGGAUUAGCUAGGAGGUGGGGUAAAGGCUCACCUGGGCGACGCUCCCUAGCUGGUCUGAGAGGAGUACCAGCCACACGGAAACUGAGACACGGGCCAGAUGCCUACGGGAGGCAGCAGUGGGGAAUAUUGCACAAUGGGCGCAACCCUGAGGCAGCCAUGCCGCGUGUAUGAAGAAGGCCUUCGGGUUGUAAAGUACUUUCAGCGGGGAGGCGUUACCCGCAGAAGAAGCACCGGCUAACUCCGUGCCAGCAGCCGCGGUAAUUC
rnacentral:rRNA from 1 species